CCUACGUGAGGCAGCAGUGGGGAAUAUUGCACAAUGGGGGAAACCCUGAUGCAGCGACGCCGCGUGAGUGAAGAAGUAAUUCGUUAUGUAAAGCUCUAUCAGCAGGGAAGAAAAUGACGGUACCUGAGUAAGAAGCCCCGGCUAACUACGUGCCAGCAGCCGCGGUAAUACGUAGGGGGCAAGCGUUAUCCGGAUUUACUGGGUGUAAAGGGAGCGUAGACGGCAGUGCAAGUCUGGAGUGAAAGGCGGGGGCUCAACCCCCGGACUGCUCUGGAAACUGUACGGCUGGAGUGCAGGAGAGGUAAGUGGAAUUCCUAGUGUAGCGGCGAAAUGCGUAGAUAGUAGGAGGAAAACCAGUGGCGAAGGCGGCUUACUGGACUGUAACUGACGUUGAGGCUCGAAAGCGUGGGGAGCAAACAGGAUUAGAUACCCUGGUAGUC
rnacentral:rRNA from 1 species